AUCUACUGCCAUACCCAUCCCCUGAAUGCGCCUGAUCUCUUCUGAUCUUGGAAGCUAAGCAGGGUCAGCGCAUAGUUAGUAUUGGAUA
rnacentral:rRNA from 1 species